rnacentral:rRNA from 1 species
GACGAACCGUCCAAACGUUAUUCGGAAUCACUGGGCUUAAAGGGUGCGUAGGCGGUCCGGUAAGUUGGGUGUGAAAGCCCUCGGCCUAACCGAGGAAUGGCGCCCAAAACUGUCGGACUUGAGCAAGGCAGUGGUGAGCGGAACUUAGGGUGGAGCGGUGAAAUGCGUUGAUAUCCUAAGGAACACCAGGAGCGAAAGCGGCUCACUGGGCCUUUUCUGACGCUGAGGCACGAAAGCCAGGGGAGCGAACGGG